UUUUUUUUUUUUUUUUUUUUAAUGAAAAAAGUGUGAAUAUUAAAGGUUUAAUUUUGAAAUCAGGAGAUUUUGUUUUUCGAAGUAAAUUUUUUUGCGCGACCGAGAUAGAAGAAUCUCAAAAGAAAUAAUAAAUUCAAGACUUUGGUAUAGUGUGUGUAUAUUUGGACGACAUCAUGGACUUCUGUCGAGGACGAGGUUGCUAGGUUUUCUCUCAAGGAUCAUGCUCCUUCGGUUCAGUGGCAUUGUCAUUUGGAUGCAUAAUGUCAGAGAGAUACGAAAUUCAACACAAACGCUGCUGAAGGAUAAUUAGCACUGAAGUCAAUUAAAGACGUUAGAGAGUAUUUUGUGGGAGUUUGUGUAUAAGAGAAAGAGUGGUUGGCCGAAAUUUUCUUUAAUUUUGUUUUUUUCGUACGGUAAGUGACGUUUGUAUUUAGUUUAUUUAUACUUUUAAAUUAAUAUUUUAAAUUAAAAUCAUUUAAUACACC